rnacentral:lncRNA from 1 species
CUUUGUGUAUGUUACUUUUAGGUGGAUUUUACGUUAGGUAAAUCAGCUGUAUCAACCUUCGGUGUUACUUGAAUUUAUCUUACAUUACCAUUUUCCUUUUUUAUAUAAUUUUAUUUACCUGUUGGCAAUAGUAGAUUUACCUUCUCGCGUGUUUGAGACGUCUUGUGGCGUUCUUCUACUUUCGCCUGCGCCCUUUUUGUUUUAAUAUUUUACCUAUGCAUCUGGUUAGCCUUCCCUUUAGUUAUGUUUGUUUUGUUUUACUAUAGUUUGCUGUCUUUUGUGCUUUCACCCGAGCCUAUGGAUGUAAUUUGGCUUGUCUUUUAUAUCUGAAAAAAGUCUUUUAGUCACUAAAUUUUUGAAAACAACAUCUCAUAUUGUUUUAUUUAAUGUAUUUUCUCAAGUGAUCAACUGUGUGUUUGUAUUCAUCUAAACGGGUGAUUUCCGUGUGUGGUUGUCAACUUGUCAUCCUCCCACAGGUCGGCUCAAUAGAUGGCGCCAGGUGAGACGCACGUGUCGUCUGUUUGUUUACAAAACAAACAGACGACAAUAAUGCCGCGACAUUUGACGUAUUAACAUCGCGAGCGAUUCACACCCUUGCUUUCUUUGCAGUAGGAAAACAUCUAGAAAUCCCGAACUUAUUUUUCAUUGCUUCCCCAAAGAUGAAGAUUGAUAGUCGAGCAUUGCACAUGAGGAAAUAGUCCAUAUUAAUAAAACAGACCGUCGAAGAAAUCUUAAGCUAUAUAAACCAGCCUUAAAAUGGAUGUUGCCAAUGAAUAAAACCCACAGGUUUCACUUUUCACGGAAAAUUUAUCCAGGGAAGAGACUUAAGAGAUGCCAUCCCAAAUCAAAAUAUAUGUGUUAAACCAUCACUUCCCCAGUCAUAUGAUGAAAGCAUAAGAUGAGAUGAGUCAGCACUCAUAGCUGACAGAGGCCGGGCUGCCUCGUGCAUAUAGCCCAGGCGAAGCGACGUCUUCGCAAAUCUGUCUGAACUGAACUGGAUGAAAGCACCCUUAAUUCAUACCUUUGGUAUGAAUUAAGAAAUGAAAUCAACAGUGCAUGUACAUGCAUACAUGUAACAAGGCCAAACAUAUACACACUAAUGUAAACAUUA